GGCCCUAUCGUCUAGUGGUUAGGACGUGUGCUUCUCAAGCAUAAAACCGGGGUUCAAUUCCCCGUAGGGCUGCCG
rnacentral:tRNA from 1 species